rnacentral:lncRNA from 1 species
CAAGCUUUCUUAGGUCCUUUUUGGUUAGUUACAGUGGUUCCUUUUAGAACCCAUAUUUUCUUCACAUUAGAAUUUUUAGAUUUGUUAGAGAAAUAAGUAUAGGAUUUGUGUCCUACUUCACCAUAUUUAAAGCAAGUAGUAUUUGAAAACUUGUUGGUUGAUGAGUUUGCAUAGAUGUUUUUCAAGAAUUUUUGUUUCUUUAAAGGGUUGUAGCCA